GCCUUACGGCGACGUCUGUCUGUCAGUUUUCAGAGUACGGUAUUGAAUAUGUGUAGGGACAAGCGUAAAACGUUUGGGUAAUGGUAUUACGCACAGCACAGGCAGGGUGAGGCGAUGCCAGCAAACAUCGAUCCAUAGAACAAACUGAACAUUAAAAACUCCUCCCUCCUCGCCUGGACUUGAUGGCAGCGAGACAUUUGUUACAGUAGAUAACCAUGAGUUUAUUAAAGGGACAGGGGCCAGAGAAAACACCAGGAGAAGGUUGGGCUGUUUCGACGGAACGAGAUUUGAAGAGGAGCAAAGCCAUUCCUGCCGCUCAUCUCCCCAGUCGUGAGACGACUCAUUCCAUGGAGGUUUGUACCAUCAGAUGGUAUCCAGCAUACUCAAGUCGCUCAUGAGCUUUGAUGAAACACACCUUGCAACUACAAAGCCACAAACACAUGAUGAAGUCAAGAAGGAAAUACAUGUUUUUUAUGUUUUCUAUCCCCAUUUUAUGUUUCAUGUAAUGUUCUAAUUUACUGUCAACAGAUUGAAUAAUGAGAAUGUACAGACCUACUUAUAGCUUGUACAGCCUGCAACUACAAUGUCCUUGUAAAUGGUGCCUUAGAAUUACCCGUGUAAGUGAAACCUCAGUGUGGUUGUUCCAGGUCAAGUUCAGGUCAGUCCCAUAUUAUAGGAGAACAAUACCAAAUCAUAUCCUGUAAAUGCAUUUGGAGGAGUCUUGGGGUGAACUGGAUCAGUAUUUCUCCAAAGCCUUCUGAGCUAAUGAAAAAAAAACAAUAAACUUUGGAAGAUUCAGGCAUUUAUCUUUGAAUGAGCUCUGCAUCUAACCACACUGUUGGCAUGCAAAAAAAACUGCUAAAUAUAUAAAAUAAAAGAGAAACAAAAAAAACCUUAGGGUUUGGGAUUAAAUGAAACCCCCAGUGCUGCUCACUCAUCUAAGAAACAUUAAAUGUACGGUUUGUUUACCCGCGUGUGCACUUAUGAAUCCCAGGGGGACCCCAACCUGUGUAUAACUCACCCUUAGGGCCUUGGAGCAUUUUUCACUAUGAAAUGAAAUUUUAUGGCAUGCGAGAUUAGCCGACACUAAU